CCUACGGGCGGCUGCAGUAGGGAAUCUUCCGCAAUGGACGAAAGUCUGACGGAGCAACGCCGCGUGAGCGAAGAAGGUCUUCGGAUCGUAAAGCUCUGUUGUUAGGGAAGAACAAGUACGGGAGGAAAUGACCGUACCUUGACGGUACCUGACGAGGAAGCCACGGCUAACUACGUGCCAGCAGCCGCGGUAAUACGUAGGUGGCAAGCGUUGUCCGGAAUUAUUGGGCGUAAAGCGCGCGCAGGCGGUCUUUUAAGUCUGGUGUGAAAUCUUGCGGCUCAACAGCAAGCGGUCAGUGGAAUGUGGGAGACUUGAGUGCAUAAGAGGACAGCGGAAUUCGACGUAUAUCGGUGAAAUGCGUAGAAAUGUGGAGGAACACCAUUGGCAAAGGCGGCUUUCUGGUCUGUAACUGACGCUGAGGGGCGAAAGCGUGGGGAGUAAACAGGAUUAGAUACCCUGCUAGUC
rnacentral:rRNA from 1 species